GAAGGACUGGUGGAGCGCUUAGAAGUGAGAAUGCCGGUAUGAGUAGCGAAAGAAGGGUGAGAAUCCCUUCCACCGAAUAGCUAAGGUUUCCUGAGGAAGGCUCGUCCGCUCAGGGUUAGUCGGGACCUAAGCCGAGGCCGAUAGGCGUAGGCGAUGGACAACAGGUAGAGAUUCCUGUACCAGUGCUAAUUGUUUAACCGAUGGGGU
rnacentral:rRNA from 1 species